rnacentral:rRNA from 1 species
UGGGGAAUAUUGGACAAUGGGCGCAAGCCUGAUCCAGCCAUGCCGCGUGAGUGACGAAGGCCUUAGGGUUGUAAAGCUCUUUUGGCGGGGAAGAUAAUGACGGUACCCGCAGAAUAAGCUCCGGCUAACUUCGUGCCAGCAGCCGCGGUAAUACGAAGGGAGCUAGCGUUGUUCGGAAUCACUGGGCGUAAAGCGCACGUAGGUGGGCAGUUAAGUCAGGGGUGAAAGCCCGAGGCUCAACCUCGGAAUUGCCUCUGAUACUGGCUGUCUAGAGUUCGAGAGAGGUGAGUGGAAUUCCUAGUGUAGAGGUGAAAUUCGUAGAUAUUAGGAAGAACACCGGUGGCGAAGGCGGCUCACUGGCUCGAUACUGACACUGAGGUGCGAAAGCGUGGGGAGCAAACAGGAUUAGAUACCCCAGUAGUCCCUGAGCGGGCUGGCAAGGCG